rnacentral:rRNA from 1 species
UGGGGGAUAUUGCACAAUGGGCGAAAGCCUGAUGCAGCGACGCCGCGUGGGGGAUGAAGGCCUUCGGGUUGUAAACUUCUUUUGCUCUGAACAAGGCGCACCAUGGGGUGUGUUGAGUGUAGGGGUUGAUUAGCGCCGGCUAACUACGUGCCAGCAGCCGCGGUAAUACGAAGGGCGCGAGCGUUGUCCGGAAUUAUUGGGCGUAAAGGGCUGGUAGGUGGCUGGUUGCGUCUGUCGUGAAAGCUCAUGGCUUAACUGUGGGUUUGCGGUGGGUACGGGCUGGCUUGAGUGCAGUAGGGGAGGCUGGAAUUCCUGGUGUAGCGGUGGAAUGCGCAGAUAUCAGGAGGAAUACCGGUGGCGAAGGCGGGUCUCUGGGCUGUUACUGACACUGAGGAGCGAAAGCAUGGGGAGCGAACAGG